UGCGUAGGCGGAAAAUUAAGUCAGUGGUGAAAUCCUGCAGCUCAACUGUAGAACUGUCAUUGAUACUGAUUUUCUUGAAUAUAGUUGAGGUAGGCGGAAUGUGUAAUGUAGCGGUGAAAUGCUUAGAUAUUACACAGAACACCGAUUGCGAAGGCAGCUUACUAAGCUAUUAUUGACGCUGAGGCACGAAAGCGUGGGGAGCGAACAGGAUUAGAUACCCUGGUAGUCC
rnacentral:rRNA from 1 species